ACAAAUUUUCAUUAAUACUAUCGUAUAAACGCAGAAAUAAGGUCUGCACGUUUCUACCGGGCUACCGUAAAUGGCUUGACUACGAUGUGAAGGGUUCUUUUG
rnacentral:ncRNA from 2 species